GAUGAACGCUGGCGGCGUGCCUAAUACAUGCAAGUAGAACGCUGAAGGAGGAGCUUGCUCUUUCCGGAUGAGUUGCGAACGGGUGAGUAACGCGUAGGUAACCUGCCUGGUAGCGGGGGAUAACUAUCGGAAACGAUAGCUAAUACCGCAUAACAGUAGAUAUUGCAUGAUAUUUGCUUGAAAGGGGCAAUUGCUCCACUACCAGAUGGACCUGCGUUGUAUUAGCUAGUUGGUGAGGUAACGGCUCACCAAGGCGACGAUACAUAGCCGACCUGGGAGGGUGAUCGGCCACACUGGGACUGGGACACGGCCCAGACUCCUACGGGAGGCAGCAGUAGGGGAUCUUCGGCAAUGGACGGAAGUCUGACCGAGCAACGCCGCGUGAGUGAAGAAGGUUUUCGGAUCGUAAAGCUCUGUUGUAAGAGAAGAACGAGUGUGAGAGUGGAAAGUUCACACUGUGACGGUAUCUUACCAGAAAGGGACGGCUAACUACGUG
rnacentral:rRNA from 1 species